rnacentral:tRNA from 3 species
GGGCACAUAGCUCAGCUGGUUAGAGCGCACGGUUCACAUCCGUGAGGUCCGGGGUUCGAGUCCCUGUGUGCCCACCA